rnacentral:lncRNA from 1 species
AUGGGUCCCAGAAAUAAGAAUGGGGAAGGACUAGGUGCCCUGGGGAGAGCCAUACUUGGACCCUGUGUUCUAGGAAACCCAUUGGCUGUAUUCAGUACAAGCUGCCUCUGUAUGAGGGAGAGGACCCUGGUAUGUUCCUCACAUGUGAGUAUCUGGGUUCCAAUUCUUAUUUCAGUAAAGGCCCAGCGGGAGAUGGACUUCUCACAUGGCUAUGUUGUCCACAGGGUGGAGGCAUGUCAUCUACAUCUAUAUCCUGCCUGGGAAGGAGUCUGCCAUUGCCUACUUCAGGGGCAAAAUGAACUAUCAGUAUUACCAGAUGAUGAUGCUCAUGGGCCGCACCCUGAAAACCAACCUAGAUGCUCUGAGGGCCUUCAAGACGUUUAUGAUGAGUAAAAUGGGGAAAAAAGCCAAGACAAAGACGCCUCCCCACGCUGAAGCCUGUGAAUUGCCCAGAGAUUCCUAACACAGGAGCAGCACCUCAGAGACUGUGUAGCAGCAGGAGUGGGGAUCCUCCAUGCACCUCCAUCUUGGCCAGAACACAGUGUGGAGAAAGGAAAAGGUGGGGCCAAGUGCCCACAUCUCUUCCAAACAGGUCUCUGCCUUAAUAAAUAUGGUCAAUGUCUCCA